UCCGGCUUAACGCCGGCAGUCUCCCUAGAGUGCCCAACUGAAUGGUGGCAACUAAGGACGAGGGUUGCGCUCGUUGCGGGACUUAACCCAACACCUCACGACACGAGCUGACGACAGCCAUGCAGCACCUUCUCACCGGCUCCCUUGCGGGCACCCCUACAUCUCUGCGGGGUUCCGGUGGAUUUAACCCAGGUAAGGUUCUGCGCGUUGCGUCGAAUUGAACCACAUGCUCCACCGCUUGUGCGGGCCCCCGUCAAUUCCUUUGAGUUUUAGCCUUGCGGCCGUACUCCCCAGGCGGGAUGCUUAACGCGUUAGCUACGGCACGGGAGGAAUCGACACCUCCCACACCUAGUGCCCAUCGUUUACAGCGUGGACUAC
rnacentral:misc_RNA from 1 species